rnacentral:rRNA from 1 species
AACCGUGGUAAUUCUAGAGCUAAUACAUGCUAAAAACCCCAACUUCGGAAGGGGUGUAUUUAUUAGAUAAAAAACCAAUGCCCUCUGGGCUCCUUGGUGAUUCAUAAUAACUAAACGAAUCGCAUGGCCUUGCGCCGGCGAUGGUUCAUUCAAAUUUCUGCCCUAUCAACUUUCGAUUGUAGGAUAGAGGCCUACAAUGGUUUUAACGGGUGACGGGGAAUUAGGGUUCGACUCCGGAGAGGGAGCCUGAGAAACGGCUACCACAUCCAAGGAAGGCAGCAGGCGCGCAAAUUACCCAAUGCCGAUACGGCGAGGUAGUGACAAUAAAUACUGAUACGGGGCUCUUUCGGGUCUCGUAAUUGGAAUGAGUACAAUCUAAAUCCCUUAACGAGGAACAAUUGGAGGGCAAGUCUGGUGCCAGCAGCCGCGGUAAUUCCAGCUCCAAUAGCGUAUAUUAAAGUUGUUGCCGUUAAAAAGCUCGUAGUUGAACCUUGGACCUGGCUGAUCUGUCCUCCUAAUCGAGCGCACGGAUUCGGUCGGGUCUUUCCUUCUGGGGAGCCCUAUGCCCUUCACUGGGUGUAGUGGGGAACCAGGACUUUUACCUUGAAAAAAUUAGAGUGUUCAAAGCAGGCCUUUGCUCGAAUACAUUAGCAUGGAAUAAUAGAAUAGGACAUCGGUUCUAUUUUGUUGGUUUCUAGGACCGCUGUAAUGAUUAAUAGGGAUAGUCGGGGGCGUCUGUAUUCAAUUGUCAGAGGUGAAAUUCUUGGAUUUAUUGAAGACAAACUACUGCGAAAGCAUUCGCCAAGGAUGUUUUCAUUAAUCAGUGAACGAAAGUUAGGGGAUCGAAGACGAUCAGAUACCGUCGUAGUCUUAACCAUAAACUAUGCCGACUAGGGAUCGGACGGUGGUUUUUUUAUGCCCCGUUCGGCACCUUACGAGAAAUCAAAGUUUUUGGGCUCGGGGGGGAGUAUGGUCGCAAGGCUGAA